UAAUGACCUCUGGCUCCAAAUACGUUCAUCUCUGCCUGUCACGUGUGGGGCUUUGCUGUUUAUACCGCGUCAGCUUCUCGAAGCCUGUAAUGCGCUCCAAUUAGCGAUGCGUCCUUCCCUCUCCUACGACUCAGUCUAAUUGCUCUUCUCCAUGUCCCUCGACAAUGAGCACACCAUGAGUGUCAUUUGUACCUCUGUGUGGAGGAGGAAGGGCUCAAGUUCAAGGUCUCUGGUGGGGAACCGAGGCAAUUUCAAGUUCACGGACAUCCUCUGCAAUCGCCAUCAACAACUCGUCAAGGAAACAAGACCUUGGCCCUGUUGCAGGCGGAAGUAAGAAACCGGAGGCCCGGAUGCAAGCUAUGAAUUCAGGUUCAAGUAUUCGGGAGAACCAGCACAGGCUGGGGAAGGGAAAGCGGGGUCGAUGUCCCAGAUAACUUGGGUUGGACAGACUUUUAUUCAAAGCCUGGCAGUCAGGGCGCCUGGCCGGCUCGGUGUGUGGAGACUCUUGAUCUCGGGGUCGUGGGUUCAAGCCCCAUGCUGGGUGUGGAGCUUAAUUAAAAAACAAAAAAACCAAACCAACAUCCCAACAGGAAAAGCAUCCCAGUCAUGCAGGCACGGCUUGCAGAUUCUGCCAAAGGUUUCGCAUCCUGUGUUGUCGUGAAUGAGCCUCAACGUUCACGCCAGCAUCCAGAGGACCUGUCACAGCACCUCUGACGUUCCUUGACCAGAGGCAAGUGUUCAGGUCCCAGCUCUGCCACCACGUGAGGGCUGCGCAGGUCGUCUUUCCUCCUGGGCUUCAGUCCCCUCAUUUGUAACCGCGCACCCCUCUGACAUCCCUUGGUGCUGCCCAGGGCAGGAUAAAGGACCCUGCGGGACGGACGAGACCCCGCUUCCGCUGGGGUUCCGAGAAGACCACGUCCGUCUCAGGACAUCCUGAGAUGGGUCCCGGGGAGAGUGACGCCUUGAGGUCGCGAGGGACUUGUGCGGGACUCACAGCCUCUGAUGGAACAGCAAACCUUCAACUUACCAAAAGUUCCUGUUUGGGGUGGGGGACCCCUCCCUCGCCAACGGGCACUCGAAAGAGCGAGUAGCCCCCGGUUUGCCUCUGUAAGUAUCUACGGAAUGAACAACUGUGCAAACCAGUGUGGCCACAAAACCACCUUGGCUGGGCAAGAAUGACGUGCUUCUUGACACGAGGGUUUGUGGCAAAUGCGGAGCCGACCCUCCGGUCUCCCCUCAGCUGCAGCCUCUCACCUCCUCGCGUCUUGCCUCCCGGGGUGGAGGGUGGAGGGAUGGUCUUUGUCCUCCUCUCUCCCCGCCUCUCCCCUCCGCUCCCAGCCAGUUCCCUCACCUGGGGAGACGCUUUCCCGGCUGCUGCCUUUUCUCCAGUCCCUCAGCACAUCCCCGGUUCUUCCAUGGAUCCCAGGCCAGUUUUAAAGGGCAACCAGUACCCCCAGCCUGAAACCGCCACCACUGGCGAAACGCGUGGACCCGUCCUUCAGGGCUCUUUGGGAGGCUGUCUGCGGGGCCCACGUCCCACACUGGGCAGCAAGGCCUUCCCGGGAGGGGGAUGGGCAGCACGCCUCCCGCCCACCCCAGACUGGGGACGGUCGCCAGGGGGCAGAGGUCACAGCCCAGGCUUGACCUGUGGCCCGCCGGGUGUGUGUGAACAGACGGGAACCCCCU